ACGCUCGACACCUGAGGCAGCAGUGGGGAAUAUUGCACAAUGGGGGAAACCCUGAUGCAGCGACGCCGCGUGAGCGAAGAAGUAUUUCGGUAUGUAAAGCUCUAUCAGCAGGGAAGAAGAAAGACGGUACCUGACUAAGAAGCCCCGGCUAACUACGUGCUAGCAGCCGCGGUAAUCUGAGGCGGGCUGGCAAGGC
rnacentral:rRNA from 1 species